rfam:Beta vulgaris subsp. vulgaris Bvchr3.sca003.con0119.1, whole genome shotgun sequence.
UAGCACAUGAUGAGCUUAUCGGAUUCCCCUUCAAGACUUAUGGGUGAUGUAAACUCCGACUAUCUGAUGCG